rnacentral:rRNA from 1 species
GACGAACCGUGCGAACGUUGUUCGGAUUCACUGGGCUUAAAGGGCGCGUAGGCGGGCUCGCCAGUCAGGGGUGAAAUCCUCCGGCUCAACCGGAGAACGGCCUUUGAUACUGCGAGCCUCGAGGAAGGUAGGGGCAUGUGGAACUUCCGGUGGAGCGGUGAAAUGCGUAGAUAUCGGAAGGAACGCCGGUGGCGAAAGCGACGUGCUGGACCUCUUCUGACGCUGAGGCGCGAAAGCUAGGGGAGCAAACGGG